rnacentral:lncRNA from 1 species
GUUCUUCUAUUUUAAAUAUUUUGCAUUUAUAUUUUAUUGUACUAGAUAUUCUUCAACUUUAUUUAUCAGGUGCUCAGAUUUCAUGUCUUGAGAGAGAGAUACUAAGGAAAGCAAAGCAAUUAAAAAUCUGAAAGCUUCUCAGAAGAGCUGGUAAAAACAGCUAUUUUGCUCUUUGCUGUGCUAUACUGAUAUCAAUCAGAAUUUUAUAUUGUUGGACUAGGAAACAGAUCACAAAUUUCUGCAGAGAUUACAGGAUCCAUUUUCAUGAGAAGUACAUUUCCACUCUCUUAUUUCUUUGAAGUAUCUCAUGUCGCCCACUUCCAAAAAGGUAACUUGUAUGAUUCCAGCUCUACAAUACAUCGUUUUCAAGGGCGCGAGCUUUACAACUGUGAAUCAUAAGGUGCAUUUAUACUGGUACACAUUUCACCAAGUGAUAGGACAAGGACAAAUAGCCUCAAGUUGCACCAGGGGAAGUUUAGGUAGGAUAUUAGGAGAAAUUUCUUUACUGAAAAUGUUGUAUGGCAUUGGAAUAGGCCAUCCAGGGAAGUGAUUGAGUCACUAUCCCUGUGGGUCUUCAAGAAAGGUGUAGAUUUGAAACUUAGUAGCAUGGUUUAGUGGUGGACUUCAGUACUAGGUUAAAGGUUGGACUAGAUGAUCUUGCAGUUCUUUUCCAACCUGAAUGAUUCAAUGAUUCUAUGAUUUUUUUUCUCCUGCCUCCUUUUUGUAUUGCAAAUUUUUUUUGCAUAUGUGUAUACAUAUAAAUUGGGCCUGUGUGUCUGCUUUCUCUCAAUCUGUGUUCACAUCUUCUUAUUUCGAGAUCUCUUUUCUUUUUGCUCAACCUUAAUAGUUUUUAGCUGGUACUCCUUGGUAAUCCUGAACCAAGAUUGCUUUAGAAUUCUCUGCAAUAUUUGACCCACAGAAAAUAUGAAUUAUUUUACAUUAAAAUAUAUUCUUGUCCCCGAGAUCUCUGGGAAAUCUUUUAGCAUCAGAAAUGUAUUUACUAUAGUCAGUAAGUAAGAAUUUGUUCUGAACUGAGGAAUUCAGGAAGAAGACUACAUUUUGCAGCAGAGUUAUGUCUUCAUUCAAUUGUUUGUAUCCCUGUGUCUAGUCUCUAUGUACAAGUUGUUCAUUUUAUUUGUGGCUUGCUUGACUGACUAUACAUUGAUUUCUGAAAUGUUAAGACUUUCAGAGUAUGAAGUCUGAAUAUAUCACUCUGCAGCUUGAAGGUAGUUCUUAAACACUGUAGUGGGUUUACGUGGCAAGGUUUUGGUAGCAGGGGGCCAUAGGGGUGUCUUCUGUGAGAAGGAUCUAGAAGAUGCCCCAUGUUAGGUAAGGGCCCCACUGCUGACCAGAGCCGAGCCAAUAAGUGACGUUGUUUUGUGCCUCUGUGAGAGCAUAUUUAAGACAGGAAAAAAAACGCUGCACCACACAGCAGCUGGGAGAGUGAGAGGAGUGAGGAACAGCCUUGCAGGUGCCAAGGUCAGUGAAGAAAGAGGAGGAGAGGUGCUCCAGGCGCCGGAGCAGAAGUCCCC